UACGGAAGGCAGCAGGGGGAAUAUUGCACAAUGGGCGAAAGCCUGAUGCAGCUAUGCCGCGUGUAUGAAGAAGGCCUUAGGGUUGUAAAGUACUUUCAUCGGGGAGGAAAAACAAAACUAAUAAUUUUAUUUCUUGACGUUACCCGAAAAAGAAGCACCGGCUAACUCCGUGCCAGCAGCCGCGGUAAUACGGAGGGUGCUAGCGUUAAUCAGAAUUACUGGGCGUAAAGAGCACGUAGGUGGUUUUUUUAAGUCAGAUGUGAAAUCCCUGGGCUUAACCUAGGAACUGCAUUUUGAAACUGAAAUACUAGAGUAUCGUAGAGGGAGGUAGAAUUCUAGGUGUAGCGGUGAAAUGCGUAGAUAUCUGGAGGAAUACCUGUGGCGAAAGCGGCCUCCUAAACGAAUACUGACACUGAGGUGCGAAAGCGUGGGGAGCGAAACAGGGAUUAGAUACC
rnacentral:rRNA from 1 species